ACGAACGCUGGCGGCGUGCUUAACACAUGCAAGUCGAACGGAAAGGCCUGCAGCUUGCUGCGGGUACUCGAGUGGCGAACGGGUGAGUAACACGUGGGUGAUCUGCCUUGCACUUCGGGAUAAGCUUGGGAAACUGGGUCUAAUACCGGAUAGGACAGCUGUUUAGUGUCAGUUGUGGAAAGUUUUUUCGGUGCAAGAUGAGCUCGCGGCCUAUCAGCUUGUUGGUGGGGUAAUGGCCUACCAAGGCGUCGACGGGUAGCCGGCCUGAGAGGGUGUACGGCCACAUUGGGACUGAGAUACGGCCCAGACUCCUACGGGAGGCAGCAGUGGGGAAUAUUGCACAAUGGGCGGAAGCCUGAUGCAGCGACGCCGCGUGGGGGAUGAAGGCCUUCGGGUUGUAAACUCCUUUCGACAGGGACGAAGCGUAAGUGACGGUACCUGUAUAAGAAGCACCGGCUAACUACGUGCCAGCAGCCGCGGUAAUACGUAGGGUGCGAGCGUUGUCCGGAAUUACUGGGCGUAAAGAGCUCGUAGGUGGUUUGUCGCGUCGUCUGUGAAAUUCCGGGGCUUAACUCCGGGCGUGCAGGCGAUACGGGCUGACUUGAGUGCUGUAGGGGAGACUGGAAUUCCUGGUGUAGCGGUGAAAUGCGCAGAUAUCAGGAGGAACACCGAUGGCGAAGGCGGGUCUCUGGGCAGUAACUGACGCUGAGGAGCGAAAGCAUGGGUAGCGAACAGGAUUAGAUACCCUGGUAGUCCAUGCCGUAAACGGUGGGCGCUAGGUGUAGGGGGCUUCCACGUCUUCUGUGCCGUAGCUAACGCAUUAAGCGCCCCCGCCUGGGGAGUACGGCCGCAAGGCUA
rnacentral:rRNA from 1 species